GAGUUGAUUCUGGCUCAGGAUGAACGCUGGCGGCGUGCAUAACACAUCAAGUCGAACGGAGUAUCGUUACAGCAAUGUAAUGGGUACUUAGUGGCGGACGGGUGAGUAACGCGUGAGCAACCUACCUUCAAAGCGGGAUAACACAGGGAAACUUGUGCUAAUACCGCAUAACACGAGAUCCUCGCAUGGGGGCCUCGUCAAAAGGUGCAAAUCUGAUGAAAGAUGGGCUCGCGUCUGAUUAGAUAGUUGGUGAGGUAACGGCUCACCAAGUCUGCGAUCAGUAGCCGGACUGAGAGGUCGAACGGCCACAUUGGAACUGAGAUACGGUCCAGACUCCUACGGAAGGCAGCAGUGGGGAAUAUUGGGCAAUGGGCGAAAGCCUGAACCCCAGCGACGCCGCGUGAAGGAUGAAGGUCUUCGGAUUGUAAACUUCUGUAGACAGGGACGAAACAAAUGACGGUACCUGUAAAGUAAGCCACGGCUAACUACGUGCCAGCCGCUGC
rnacentral:rRNA from 1 species